rnacentral:rRNA from 11 species
GCGUGUAGAAAUCCAUCCAGGGAGUAGCAAUGAUCCUGUCUGAUUUUGGAAGCUAAGCAGGGUUAGCCCUAGUUCAUACUAGGAUGGGAGACCACAAAUGAAUACCAGGUGCUAUAGGCU